AGAGUUUGAUCCUGGCUCAGAUUGAACGCUGGCGGCAUGCCUUACACAUGCAAGUCGAACGGCAGCAUGGAGAGCUUGCUCUCUGAUGGCGAGUGGCGAACGGGUGAGUAAUACAUCGGAACGUGUCCGUUUGUGGGGGACAACCGUCCGAAAGGAUGGCUAAUACCGCAUAAGACCUGAGGGUGAAAGCCGGGGACCGCAAGGCCCGGCGCAGACGGAGCGGCCGAUGAUUGAUUAGCUAGUUGGGGAGGUAAAGGCUCACCAAGGCGACGAUCAAUAGCUGGUCUGAGAGGACGGCCAGCCACACUGGAACUGAGACACGGUCCAGACUCCUACGGGAGGCAGCAGUGGGGAAUUUUGGACAAUGGGGGCAACCCUGAUCCAGCCAUGCCGCGUGCGGGAAGAAGGCCUUCGGGUUGUAAACCGCUUUUGUCAGGGACGAAAAGCUCCGGAGUAAUAUGCCGGAGUGCUGACGGUACCUGAAGAAUAAGCACCGGCUAACUACGUGCCAGCAGCCGCGGUAAUACGUAGGGUGCGAGCGUUAAUCGGAAUUACUGGGCGUAAAGCGUGCGCAGGCGGUUGGGUAAGACAGAUGUGAAAUCCCCGGGCUUAACCUGGGAACUGCAUUUGUGACUGUCCGACUGGAGUACGUCAGAGGGGGGUGGAAUUCCACGUGUAGCAGUGAAAUGCGUAGAUAUGUGGAAGAACACCGAUGGCGAAGGCAGCCCCCUGGGACGCAACUGACGCUCAUGCACGAAAGCGUGGGGAGCAAACAGGAUUAGAUACCCUGGUAGUCCACGCCCUAAACGAUGUCUGCUGGUUGUUGGGAAUUUAAUUCUCAGUAACGAAGCCAACGCGUGAAGCAGACCGCCUGGGGAGUACGGUCGCAAGAUUAAAACUCAAAGGAAUUGACGGGGACCCGCACAAGCGGUGGAUGAUGU
rnacentral:rRNA from 1 species